UAGCAUCAUGGCUUCUCUAGGGGUGUUCACAAGCAGAGUCUUGUCGCUUCUCUGGAGACAUUUUCAGAGUCUAGCUGUUCACUUCUCUGGGCUUGGUAGUCGCUUCUCUAAAGACAUUUUCAGAGUCUAGCAUCAUGGCUUCUCUAGGGGUGUUCACAAUCAGUCUAGUCGCUUCUCUGGAGACAUUUUCAGAGUCUAGCUGUUCACUUCUCUGGGCUGUGUAGUCGCUUCUCUGAAGACAUUUUCAGAGUCUAGCAUCAUGGCUUCUCUAGGGGUGUUCACAAUCAGAGUCUUGUCGCUUCUCUGGAGACAUUUUCAGAGUCUAGCUGUUCACUUCUCUGGGCUUGGUAGUCGCUUCUCUGAAGACAUUUUCAGAGUCUAGCAUCAUGGCUUCUCUAGGGGUGUUCACAAUCAGAGUUUUAAUCGCUUCUCUGAAGACAUUUUCAGAGUCCAGCAUCAUGGCUUCUCUAGGAGUGUUCACAACCAGAGUCUAGUCGCUUCUCUGGAGUGGAGACAUUUUCAGAGUCUAGCUGUUGGAGGGAGUAGCCCCGGAUGCGCAACUUUGUUACACAUUGUCAGAAGGCUUUGCAUCUCAAAUUUAACACCAUUAAAUUGUACCAGGCUGGUAUCAGGUUUCAUUACAUUAAAAAGAAAUUGGGUGACCCUACUGCCAACACCCUUAGACUGUCGUACAUUUUGCGUGCUAUCAAGAAGACGCAAGUGAAUACUGCUUUUUAAACGUCUUCCUAUAACAUGUACAUUAGUAACUAAAUGUGGAUGCUAUUACACAGCAUGGUGACAUUGUCUCGGAUUGGCAUUGAUAAUCAGCCCUUUAAUAGUCAUUCUUUUCGUAUCGGAGCCAGUACCUCAGCCGCAGCAGCUGGGGUGGAAGAUCACGUUAUACAGACCCUUAGUAGGUGGUCAUCUGAUUGUUUCAUACGUUACAUUCGCAUAGAUCCUGCUACCAUCUGCCGAGCUCAGCAGAAGAUGUCCUCCCGAUCUUAGAACAGCAUGGUUGGGUUUUCUUUUUUCUUUUUCGGCCUGGGACAGAUAUUUAUGAUUUCCAGUUUUUAUUGGGUUUUGGAUAUCAAAAAAAAAAA
rnacentral:lncRNA from 1 species